UAUAUAAUAGGUUUAAUAUGAUCAUUAUUCCACAUCAAUUAUAAUUUCUUCCAAAGACAAUUCAUACGUAUUACUAUAUUUUUGGAUAUGCCUUACACGUAUUCAAAGUAGGGUAACUGACUCUAGCUAAUGGAAGUGUUUCAUUAAGUAACCUUGUGUAAAAAUAAGGUGUAUGUAGGUUACUGGUUAAACGCAUGAGUUGGGUCUAUUGUCUUUUUAUUUCGAAUUCUGGUGGAGAGAAUUCUGUACACCAUGUUUUUUGGUAUUAACAAAAGCUGAUUCUAAACCUAGAGGAAUAUUAACGACCAAUGCCUAACUCCUUCUAAUUGAUAAAAAUUUAAAAGGUAUGAAAGAAUAACUUGUCAAGUUUUUAGGAGAUCACUUUUUCAAAAAAAAAAAAAGAAGUUUUUAGGAGAUUUCGAAGUUUACCCAGAGUUUUGAGGAAUAAAUUAAGUGCAACUAAGUCUCACAAAACAAAAACAAAAAACUAAGUGCAAGGAACAACGUUUCCCACAUGUAGACUGACAGUAUCAUUAUCAUAUGCUUUCCAAGCUACUGUACAUACUUUAUGGAGAGAGAGGAACAACAGGAACAUUGGGGAGCCACCGCGUGAUAAAGUUCUCCUUACUAGCUUCAUUGACAAGUUGAUUCGGAAUCGUAUGGCUUCGCUUCGCGGC
rnacentral:lncRNA from 1 species